rnacentral:lncRNA from 1 species
GUUGGGGUCAAACACCCAGGGGUUCAGAUCCUGGACCUUUGUCUUAGGAACCCGAGGCAAUCUCUCACCAUCCAAGAAAUGAAGAUGCUAACAUAUCUAGUCAUAGGUCACUGUGGCGUUAAGUGAAAUCAUCACUGUUUUUUAUUUUCCAGACUCCCCAGGUUGCUUAGGUGAUGGUUUCUGACAUCUGGAACAGAGGUGAAUGAAGAUAAAAGUAAAAUGGCAGCUUUGAAGGAACGCUGAGCACAUGCUAGGCAGUAUUCUAAGUCUUUCCGUGGAUUGUAUUAGUUAUCCAUCGGUCCGUAACAAAUUCCCCCAAAACAUAAGCAACGAAUAACUUGUUUCACAGGUUCUUGGCAGGAGGCCUCAGUUCUUUGCCACGUAGACCUCUCCAGAGUGUGGCUUAAGUGUCCUUAUGACAUGGGAACUGGCUUCUCCUAGAGCAAGUGCUCCGAGAGAGCAAGCUGGAAGUUGCAAAGACCUAGUUUUGGAAGUCACACCUCAUUUCUACAGAACUGUAUUCGUUACACAGGUCAGCCCUAUCCAGUGUGGAAGGGGACUACACCAGGACAUGAAUAUCACUGGGGCCAUCUUGGAGGCUAGCUACCCAUGUAUUACCUCACUUAACUCUCAAAAUGUGCCGGAGAAGCCUUCAUUGAAGAGACUGAAGUGAAGAAGGAGGUGCUAGGUGUGGGAGAUGCAGAUUUCAGAGGUUCUAGAGACGUCCCUCCACGCCAGCAUGUGCAAUGUGAGCGUCGUGCCUCCUCGUCUGACGGCAGCGAUGUCUCCAGUGGAGAAGCCCCAUCAGAGGUGGUUAGUGAAUUGUUCCCGGCUUUGUCACUUCCAAGCCAGAGUCUUCAGCCCUGCAGCAGAUUCUGUGAGCUACCAAAUAGCUUCAGGAUCCUUUGGUUUCCUUGCGACUGUGAAACAAAGUUCCUGGCCCAGGCUGUGCUUCAGCCCAGACUCCCAACCGCCUGCAGAAUGGCUGGCACGCCACUCCAACCCUCGCUUCUGCAUGCCUGGAAGGAACAAGACAGCGAAGCGGCCUGAAUGCUCCCCGAAUGCCAUAGCAGGCCUCGCAGUGGGGCCCCAGGCGGCCAGCAUUGUGCAAGCAAGAGAAGCGGGCCCUGGAAUCCUUUCUUUUCCGGAGAAUUUAUGCUCAGGACAAAAGGAGCCAUUAUCCCCAGGGCUGCUGUGCGGCUGCUGCCCAGACUGUGGCCCAGGUGUCACAUGCUGUCGCCAUCUCUCAGCCUGCUUUCUCCCUUUGUCUGUGGGAGCACAGAAGCUUGGCCCCUGCUCCCUUCUCUGACACCCCCAGCCCUCUUUGGGCUUUGGUCCCUGGCCUCUGCUUUUGUGAAAUAAACUUGAACCCUCAGUAGA